rnacentral:rRNA from 1 species
UACGUAGGGUGCAAGCGUUGUCCGGAUUUAUUGGGUUUAAAGGGUGCGUAGGCGGUUUAUUAAGUCAGUGGUUAAAGACUGUGGCUCAACCAUAGCACGCCAUUGAUACUGGUAAACUUGAGUAUGUUAGAGGAAACUGGAAUGUAUGGUGUAGCGGUGAAAUGCAUAGAUAUCAUACAGAACACCAAUUGCGAAGGCAGGUUUCUAUAACAUUACUGACGCUGAGGCACGAAAGCGUGGGGAGCGAACAGG